rnacentral:lncRNA from 1 species
UAAACCUUAAGAAGAAGAGGAACACGUCCAUCUAUGGGAGAAAACAUCCAACUCCAGAGCAUACGAAUUCAACAGCCGCCAAGGCUAUAUAUCACCCCGAGAAGACCUUAUCCUACGAGAGGUCGAUGACAGGCUGAUCCCGGUGAUUACUACCAUGAAGAUGACGUCCUAUGCUCUCUACAGCACGCCUACAACUCCACAUACUGGUCCAGGCCACGAUCUCCAGCACACCGACAGUGACACUCCAUGCUCAUCAAAGCAUAUCGAAGAUCUAUGCUCCCUGCAGCAUAUCUACUACUCCACCAUAUGUUCC